UGAUUGUAUGAAAGGAGAGAAGGUCAGCACCCCAUUCAUGAAGAUGGAAGAGGCCCUAAUGGCCUGUACAACACACGUGGUUAAGGUGCUGCCACCUACUUCGUGGCAUCUAACCAUGUUCUACU